rnacentral:tRNA from 1 species
CAGCAGGUAGUUUAAGUAAAAAUUUUAAUUUUGGAUAUUAAAGAUAUUUUUUUUCUUGCUGA